UAAUACAUGCAAGUAGAACGCUGAAGAGAGGAGCUUGCUCUUCUUGGAUGAGUUGCGAGCGGGUGAUUUUCUUCGUAGGUAACCUGCCUUGUAGCGGGGGAUAACUAUUGGAAACGGUAGCUAAUACCGCAUAACAAUGGAUGACACAUGUCAUUUAUUUGAAAGGGGCAAUUGCUCCACUACAAGAUGGACCUGCGUUGUAUUAGCUAGUAGGUGAGGUAACGGCUCACCUAGGCGACGAUACAUAGCCGACCUGAGAGGGUGAUCGGCCACACUGGGACUGAGACACGGCCCAGACUCCUACGGGAGGCAGCAGUAGGGAAUCUUCGGCAAUGGGGGCAACCCUGACCGAGCAACGCCGCGUGAGUGAAGAAGGUUUUCGGAUCGUAAAGCUCUGUUGUAAGUCAAGAACGAGUGUGAGAGUGGAAAAUUCACACUGUGACGGUAGCUUACCAGAAAGGGACGGCUAACUACGUGCCAGCACCCGCGGUAAUACGUAGGUCCCGAGCGUUGUCCGGAUUUAUUGGGCGUAGCGAGCGCAGGCGGUUUGAUAAGUCUGAAGUUAAGGCUGUGGCUCAACCAUAGUUCGCUUUGGAAACUGUCAAACUUGAGUGCAGAAGGGGAGGGUGGAAUUCCAUGUGUAGCGGUGAAAUGCGUAGAUAUAUGGAGGAACACCGGUGGCGAAAGCGGCUCUCUGGUCUGUAACUGACGCUGAGGCUCGAAAGCGUGGGGAGCGAACAGGAUUAGAUACCCUGGUAGUCCACGCCGUAAACGAUGAGUGCUAGGUGUUGGAUCCUUUCCGGGAUUCAGUGCCGCAGCUAACGCAUUAAGCACUCCGCCUGGGGAGUACGACCGCAGGGUUGAAACUCAAAGGAAUUGACGGGGGCCCGCACAAGCGGUGGAGCAUGUGGUUUAAUUCGAAGCAACGCGAAGAACCUUACCAGGUCUUGACAUCCCGAUGCUAUUUCUAGAGAUAGAAAGUUACUUCGGUACAUCGGUGACAGGUGGUGCAUGGUUGUCGUCAGCUCGUGUCGUGAGAUGUUGGGUUAAGUCCCGCAACGAGCGCAACCCCUAUUGUUAGUUGCCAUCAUUCAGUUGGGCACUCUAGCGAGACUGCCGGUAAUAAACCGGAGGAAGGUGGGGAUGACGUCAAAUCAUCAUGCCCCUUAUGACCUGGGCUACACACGUGCUACAAUGGUUGGUACAACGAGUUGCGAGUCGGUGACGGCAAGCUAAUCUCUUAAAGCCAAUCUCAGUUCGGAUUGUAGGCUGCAACUCGCCUACAUGAAGUCGGAAUCGCUAGUAAUCGCGGAUCAGCACGCCGCGGUGAAUACGUUCCCGGGCCU
rnacentral:rRNA from 1 species